rnacentral:rRNA from 1 species
UACGGAGGGUGCAAGCGUUGUCCGGAUUUACUGGGUGUAAAGGGUGUGUAGGUGGAAUUGCAAGUCAGUGGUGAAAGCCUGCGGCUUAACCGUAGAAUUGCCAUUGAUACUGUUGUUCUUGAGUACUGGAGAGGCUACUAGAAUUCGUGGUGUAGCGGUGAAAUGCGUAGAUAUCACGAGGAAUACCAGAGGCGUAGGCGGGUAGCUGGACAGAUACUGACACUGAGGCACGAAAGCGUGGGGAGCAAACAGG